rnacentral:tRNA from 1 species
GAGGGCAUAGCUCAGGGGUAGAGCGCGCGCUUCGCAUGCGCGAGGUCUGGGGUUCGAUUCCUUUUUUUUUUU